CACCCUCUGCCAUUUCCUCCCUCCGCAUUUCUCUCCCUGUUCUCUUCCUCGUCCACCUCUAAUCUCGCUCAGUCUGCGUCUCUCUCCCUCUACCGCCCCCCCUCCAAGCCCCUCCCACACCCUGUCACUCUUUAGUCGAUCGUUACUUCUGCGUAUACCACCCUCCAGCUAACAAACUUCAGACUUGCUCGUCUACGUCUAUUUCCCUCUUCUGCUCCUUCUCCAGUCACAGUCCUUCUGCCUCUCUCACAUCCUGACACUAUUCGCUCUUGUUACUUCUGCCGCUCCCACCCCCUCCCACUAUCAAACUUCCCCCUCCUUCCCUUGCAUUCAGCCAUCUCUGAUGCAGUGGAAGACGUCACACAGAGCGGGCUACUUUAAAAGAACCUGAAGAAAGCAAGAAUAAAUACAGUACCUGACGAUCAUCUGUAUUCUCCAGGAUGUUGCUUGGAAUAAAUCCCUGAUGGCCCUGAGAAUUUUGCACCAUCCACCACUGCCGGCUUUGGUCCAAAACCUGCCAAAUAAAGACAGACAUGCUACACUGAUAACAGGCAAAAAAAUAACAACUAUAGGUAUACACUGGACAGUUCCAGUUUAUAUUAUUAUUGACUAAACAUUUUCAUGUAUAACUGAAAGCAAUAAUUAUGGCAGUUCUAUUUAUAUUACAAAAUUUUAAAAAAGCUACUCAUAUCUUUAUGAAUUCCGGGAAAGUCAUCUCUGAUAGAGCCUACUGUAAGAAAAUAAUUAUAGUUUUUCAAAAUGAUUAUCUUUUUCUCUGUAAUAAUAAAACAAUAGCUUAUACAUGAUCCUAA